rnacentral:rRNA from 1 species
GGGUGAGUAACACGUGGAUAACCUACCUAUAAGACUGGGAUAACUUCGGGAAACCGGAGCUAAUACCGGAUAAUAUUUUGAACCGCAUGGUUCAAAAGUGAGAGACGGUCUUGCUGUCACUUAUAGAUGGAUCCGCGCUGCAUUAGCUAGUUGGUAAGGUAACGGCUUACCAAGGCAACGAUGCAUAGCCGACCUGAGAGGGUGAUCGGCCACACUGGAACUGAGACACGGUCCAG